UGCUUCUAUCAAUCUUAGUGGCGAACGGGUGAGUAACGCGUAAUCAACCUGCCCUUCAGAGGGGGACAACAGUUGGAAACGACUGCUAAUACCGCAUACGAUCUAACCUCGGCAUCGAGGAUAGAUGAAAGGUGGCCUCUACAUGUAAGCUAUCACUGAAGGAGGGGAUUGCGUCUGAUUAGCUAGUUGGAGGGGUAACGGCCCACCAAGGCGAUGAUCAGUAGCCGGUCUGAGAGGAUGAACGGCCACAUUGGGACUGAGACACGGCCCAGACUCCUACGGGAGGCAGCAGUGGGGAAUCUUCCGCAAUGGACGAAAGUCUGACGGAGCAACGCCGCGUGAGUGAUGACGGCCUUCGGGUUGUAAAGCUCUGUUAAUCGGGACGAAAGGCCUUCUUGCGAAUAGUUAGAAGGAUUGACGGUACCGGAAUAGAAAGCCACGGCUAACUACGUGCCAGCAGCCGCGGUAAUACGUAGGUGGCAAGCGUUGUCCGGAAUUAUUGGGCGUAAAGCGCGCGCAGGCGGAUCAGUCAGUCUGUCUUAAAAGUUCGGGGCUUAACCCCGUGAUGGGAUGGAAACUGCUGAUCUAGAGUAUCGGAGAGGAAAGUGGAAUUCCUAGUGUAGCGGUGAAAUGCGUAGAUAUUAGGAAGAACACCAGUGGCGAAGGCGACUUUCUGGACGAAAACUGAC
rnacentral:rRNA from 1 species